GAUCACAACACAAAUAAAACCCAUUGACAGCCCAAGGGCCUUCCUCCUUUCUCCACCACUGUCCUCAAGACAAUCAAUCUACAACCCAACCUAUCAAUAAGGGAGGGGAAACCCACUAAAUUGGGAGGGGAAGGCAGCCUUCCCCACCCAGGAGCAGAGAAAAGCCGCUUGAAGCAGCAGAGCAAAGAGACUCUAGUCUCGGAAAAACAAAGAAAGACGAGAGAAAUUUUCUCUCUUCAC
rnacentral:misc_RNA from 1 species